CCUACGGGGGGCAGCAGUGAGGAAUAUUGGUCAAUGGACGAGAGUCUGAACCAGCCAAGUAGCGUGAAGGAUGACUGCCCUAUGGGUUGUAAACUUCUUUUAUAUGGGAAUAAAAUGUUCCACGUGUGGGCUUUUGUAUGUACCAUAUGAAUAAGGAUCGGCUAACUCCGUGCCAGCAGCCGCGGUAAUACGGAGGAUCCGAGCGUUAUCCGGAUUUAUUGGGUUUAAAGGGGGUGUAGGGGGUUUGUUAAGUCAGUUGUGAAAGUUUGCGGCUCAACCGUAAAAUUGCAGUUGAAACUGGCAGUCUUGAGUACAGGAGAGGUAGGCGGAAUGCGUGGUGUAGCGGUGAAAUGCAUAGAUAUCACGAAGAACUCCGAUUGCGAAGGCAGCUCACUGGACUGCAACUGACGCUGAGGCUCGAAAGUGUGGGUAUCAAACAGGAUUAGAUACCCUAGUAGUC
rnacentral:rRNA from 1 species